UACAGAGGUCUCAAGCGUUGUUCGGAUUCAUUGGGCGUAAAGGGUGCGUAGGUGGUGGGGUAAGUCGGAUGUGAAAUCCCGGGGCUCAACCCCGGAACUGCAUUCGAUACUGCCUUGCUCGAGUACUGGAGAGGAGACUGGAAUUUACGGUGUAGCAGUGAAAUGCGUAGAUAUCGUAAGGAAGACCAGUGGCGAAGGCGAGUCUCUGGACAGUUACUGACACUGAGGCACGGAAGGCCAAGGGGAGCAAACGGG
rnacentral:rRNA from 1 species